rnacentral:rRNA from 1 species
GACAGAGGGUGCAAACGUUGUUCGGAAUUACUGGGCGUAAAGCGCGUGUAGGCGGCUUUGCAAGUCGGGCGUGAAAUCCCACGGCUCAACCGUGGAAGUGCACUCGAAACUGCAGAGCUAGAGGCCUGGAGAGGAAGGUGGAAUGCUUGGUGUAGAGGUGAAAUUCGUAGAUAUCAAGCGGAACACCGGUGGCGAAGGCGGCCUUCUGGACAGUGACUGACGCUGAGACGCGAAAGCGUGGGGAGCAAACAGG